rnacentral:rRNA from 1 species
AUGGUCAAGAAGAAGAAGGCCAAGGCGCCAAGGAAGCCGCGGUCGGAGUGCAUGCCGGAGGAGAUCGCCAAGUUGGACGCGGAAUCGGCGAAGAGGAGGAAUCGGACGGCGGUCGUCAAGGACAAUGCCACCGCGGCCAAGUUCACUGCCGAGCGCGAUGCGAUGGAGGUCGUGCGGCGCAAGGACAAGGUCGAGGAGAAGGAGGCCAUUGUUAACAAAGCACACGCCCUCAACAUGCUUGGCAUAUGUCGUCCGGCAGGUUUCUCUGUAGUGGCCGUCGGUCCAGCGAGCACAGGCUCCUCGGUCGCCCGGCCUCCCAACUGCCAGUCGCCGACGUCGCGUACCACGCCUAUGUCGCCCAGCUUUCCCCCGCCAAGGCACGACGGCCAUACCCAUUUCUUGGGGUCGCCGGAUGUUGCCGUGAUCGCGCCGUCCACCCCGCGCCCCACGGCCGUCAUCGACCUCAAAGUCACACCUGGGUCCAGAAGUGGCGGCCGGCCAUCCGUUGAGAUGCAAAGAAAGCAAGCACAGCCGCCAUUUAUGGGCACCAUGCCGUCCCCCCAUGUCUUGUUCGAUGGAAUGCCAACACCAACGCCACCAGUCGACAACCCCUUCUACAACCAGUCUACGUUGCUGAUGGAAUGCCAACACCGACGCCACUGGUCUACGAUGGUGGGCAUGGCCCUGCCUACAAUUUUGAGGAGACCCAAAGUCAGGAUGGCCAUGCCCAGUACGUUGCUGAUGAAGAGGCCGACGACCAUGCUGACUACGACCAUGGUGACUCGUGGCAUGAAGACGAUGACAUCUAUUGCGAAGGUGAUGGUGAUAAAGAAGAAGGCAAUGACAUUGAUAUUAGUGGCGAGCCAUUGUUCAUCGACGAGCUCACCCCAAAGAGCCGAAGCACAAAAGAGGAGGAAGAGCACUCACACGGGUUCAUAUACACAAGAGGAGGACAAGUUGAUUUGCCAAUGUUGGAUGGAGAUUAGGCAAGAUCCGAGGAUGGGCACGCAACAAAAGGGCCUAUCCUUUCCUUGCUACGGCCAUGAGACUUCGGCCUUGUAUAUGUUUGCAUGUCCGAUUCUUGUUGAUCAUGUGGUGUGGGCAUUUCAAUCUUUGGAAGCAUUCAAGGCCCAACACAACGACAAGCCAUUCACUCUUACGCAUUAUUGGACGAUCAUCAACAAUUGCCCUAAGUUCAAGGAUCAAUACCAUGAACUUCAAAGGAAGAGAGGCAAGAAGUCGGCCAAGUUUGCUGGAGGUGGAGAUGGCGAGGCAUUGAAGAGGCCGAGGGGCAAGACCAUCUCCAUGGUGGACGACAUACGUGAUGCCUCAUCCAUGGCCUUGCAUGAGACUUUGCAUGGCAUGAUGUCUCAAAAGGAUGUGAGGGACGAGAAGAAGCGGCAAAGCAAGGACAAGCAAAUAAAGCAAUACCUAGAGCUUGAAAGGAAGAAGCUUGAGAUGGAGGAGGCGGCCAAGAAGAGGAAGAUUGACAUGGAGGAGGCGUCCCGGCAAAGGCAGCUCGACAUCGAGGCCGCCAAUGUCAAGGCCAGGCAUAGGCAGCUCGACAUCGAGGCCACCAAUGCCGCAACCAAAGUGAAGGAGGUGGCCCUUGCGAUCAUGAGCGUGGACUUGACCAAGAUGAGCGAGAAGACGAGGAGUUGGCUGGCAUGGGUGCCGCCCGCUGGGCCGCUGGCUGUGUGCCGGCGAGAAACAGAUUCAUUUUGGAGGCUGGCUGUGUUGCCGACGAGGACGUGUAGGCUGUUGGCUCUAUUGUCGGCAGACAAGAUGGGGCCAAAGGAUGCGGCCGCGCGCUGGGCGCACGGCCACCGCAUCCCAGGACAGACCCGGACACGAUCCCAUCACCCUAUCCAAACGGAAAGAAUCCAGACAAAGCGGACGUUCGUUUGGGGUCGCACGGUGGAGUUGGCCUCAUGCCAUGAAUCCAUUCAGAGAAGAAACAACGCAUUCCAUCAACCACAGCGCGCGGCCACCGCAUCCCAGGAUAGACCCGGAUACGACCCCAUCACCCUAUCCAAACGGAAAGAAUCCGGGCAAAGCGGACGUUUGUUUGGGGUCGCGCGGUGGAGUUGGCCUCAUGCCAUGAAUCCAUUCAGAGAAGAAACAACGCUUUCCAUCAACCACACGCGGACAAUUUUAAAUGUUCGUCAACACUGUUCAUCGCAUCAAUUCGUUGUGCUCAUCGUUUGGCCUAAAUCCGAUAGUGUUUUCAGUUUGAUAACUUUUCUUGUCAGUUUCAAAAAUGGUUUCGCCCAGCCCCAGCCUCGGCCGCCGCUCGACCUCGGCGACCGCCGCUCCUUGGCUCCCCGGCCGCCGCUAGACCUCCACGGCCGUGCCUUGACCUCCUUGGCUCCUCUGCCGCCACUCGACCUCCUUAGCUCCUCGGCCGCCGCUCGACCUCCACGGUCGUGCUUCGCCAACACUUGCUUCCCUGUAUCCCGCCCUUCAUUGAUAUGGACUCAUGCUCCUCAGCCCUCAUGGUGUUGUGCUACGCGCGUGCUCUGCAGCCCCUCCUCCACGGUCUCGUACAGGAAGGACCAGGGCGAGUCGUGGUUACUAACGUGUGUGGGUGCGGAUGUGGUCAAACGCUCGCCCUGGACAGCCUGUUCGCCAAAGUUGUUACGCCGAGCUGUAGCUGCUGGGCGCCCAUCUAGGCGCUCUGCUAGGUGUGGCGUCACUCCUGUUCCCGGCAACAGAUCAUUCCAGGUUGUUAUGUUAUGUCUUUACAAGUUGGCGCCGAGGGGAGAGGGCGGCGACGCGGCCGGGUUGUCUAGUCGGCCGGAUGUGAAGGGGGACGUGGCGCUUCGGAAGCAGGCCGUGAAGCAUGCGGCAGACCAGGCGGCUGGCGCCAAGCCGACCACCAAGAAGCAGUGCCGCUUCAUGCCAGGGGCGCCGGCGAGACCGACUGUUCCAUGGUGGUCGCUGAUGGCGCUGGCGCUGGCGACGAUGGAGGUCGCGUCCGCGGGCAGCGCCGUGUUUCGGAGGACCCGAUCGAGCACCAUCGACCGGGAUGAGGAGAUUGUCAAUCCGAACCUUGGCCUGGACCCGGCCGACACUGAGGCCCUGGCCUGGAAGGACCAAAAUAGGGCCGAGCCUCAAGAUAAAGAUUACCUCAUUCAUGGCAGCCACACCAUCUCUUUCUGCCUCUAG